rnacentral:snoRNA from 1 species
GCCAGAGCGAGCUGCGGCCUCGGACCAUUGCCCGGCCUCUGGCCUCUGCCCGUGCGCUGCGGGCACGGAAGCAGGUUGCACGGGG